rnacentral:rRNA from 1 species
UGUGCCAGCAGUCGCGGUUAUACAAUGAAGGCUAACGUUAAUCAUAAUGGUUUAAAGGAUUUGUAGAAUGAAUAUUUAAAUAAAAAUAUUUAGAGUUAAUUAAAAUAUAAUUAAAGAAUUAUAAUAGUAAAGAUGAAAUAAUAAUAAUAAUUAUAAGACUGGUAAUAAUGAAAAUAUUAAUUAAUAAUUAACUGACAUUGAGAAAUGAAAACUAAAGUAGCAAAACAGAUUCGAUACCUGUGUAGUUUUAGUAGUAAACGAUGAAUACAUAUUUUAUAAUAUAAUAAUAAUUAUAAAAUAAAAUGAAAAUUAAAGUAUUCCACCUGAAGAGUAUAUUAGCAAUAAUGAAACUCAAGACAAUAGACGGUUACAGACUUAAGUAGUGGAGCACGUUAUUUAAUUCGAUAAU